rnacentral:rRNA from 1 species
UACGUAGGGUGCAAGCGUUAAUCGGAAUUACUGGGCGUAAAGCGUGCGCAGGCGGUGAUGUAAGACAGAUGUGAAAUCCCCGGGCUCAACCUGGGAACUGCAUUUGUGACUGCAUCGCUAGAGUACGGCAGAGGGGGAUGGAAUUCCGCGUGUAGCAGUGAAAUGCGUAGAUAUGCGGAGGAACACCGAUGGCGAAGGCAAUCCCCUGGACCUGUACUGACGCUCAUGCA